rnacentral:rRNA from 1 species
AGAGAUGGCUUGGUGGCCCGAAAGGGAGCCUGGACACAGGUGCUGCAUGGCUGUCGUCAGCUCGUGUCGUGAGAUGUUGGGUUAAGUCCCGCAACGAGCGCAGCCCUUGUCAUUAGUUGCCAUCAUUCAGUUGGGCACUCUAAUGAGACUGCCGGUGACAAACCGGAGGAAGGUGGGGAUGACGUCAAGUCCUCAUGGCCCUUAUGGGUAGGGCUUCACACGUCAUACAAUGGUCGGUACAGAGGGUUGCCAAGCCGCGAGGUGGAGCCAAUCCCAGAAAGCCGAUCGUAGUCCGGAUUGUUCUCUGCAACUCGAGAGCAUGAAGUCGGAAUCGCUAGUAAUCGCGGAUCAGCAUGUCGCGGUGAAUACGUUCCCGGGUCUU